AUGAACGCUGGCGGCGUGCCUAAUACAUGCAAGUCGAGCGAACAGACGAGGAGCUUACUCCUCUGACGUUAGCGGCGGACGGGUGAGUAACACGUGGAUAACCUACCUAUAAGACUGGGAUAACUUCGGGAAACCGGAGCUAAUACCGGAUAACAUGUUGAACCGCAUGGUUCAACAGUGAAAGACGGUCUUGCUGUCACUUAUGGAUGGAUCCGCGUCGCAUUAGCUAGUUGGUAAGGUAACGGCUUACCAAGGCAACGAUGCGUAGCCGACCUGAGAGGGUGAUCGGCCACACUGGAACUGAGACACGGUCCAGACUCCUACGGGAGGCAGCAGUAGGGAAUCUUCCGCAAUGGGCGAAAGCCUGACGGAGCAACGCCGCGUGAGUGAAGAAGGUCUUCGGAUCGUAAAACCCUGUUAUUAGGGAAGAACAAAUGUGUAAGUAACUAUGCACGUCUUGACGGUACCUAAUCAGAAAGCCACGGCUAACUACGUG
rnacentral:rRNA from 1 species